AUGGAUUGUGACACCAUCUUCUUCACGUGGUGGUCCAAGGCCGUCGAUGAAUCCCCGGGCUGCCUACGGAAGGGCCUCAACUCCAUCGUCGCACUCUCCGCUUGGUCCAUUUGGAAGCACCGCAACGCGGUCAUCUUCAAGAACCGGUGCCCCUCCACUGAAGACCUAAUACGCUCGAUCAAAGACGAUGCCCGCCUCUAGGCUAAGGCGGGUGCUCGAGGGCUAGCCGUGAUUAUCCCUGUAACUUAA
rnacentral:rRNA from 1 species